rnacentral:rRNA from 1 species
AUGCUUAGGAAGAUGUUCCAAGGUGGUUCUUCAAGGAAGCAAGGUCCCAGGCUUGCAAUGCGUGAUGGUGACGAGGAACCACCAAGAGACGCUCUAGUGAGGCCCUGUGAAUGGCCUUCGGAAAAUUUUAUGAAUCAAGUGGGAAUUAAAGAAGAAUUCUAUGCAUAUUUGUGUAAUGCCGGUCUUGAGGACUUUGAAGCUGAUAAAUGCCCCCAGUAUCAUGAUCUCACAAGUUCAUUUGUGGGGAGGUUUGAUUUUUCAUCUUCGCGCGAGAGGAAAAUAUAUUAUUACCAGAGAGGAGGCAGAUGA